UACGGAGGGUGCAAGCGUUGUCCGGAAUCACUGGGCGUAAAGGGCGCGUAGGCGGCUCAUGAAGGCUGUGGUGAAAGUCCGGGGCUCAACCUCGGAUCGGCCGUGGCGACUCGUGGGCUGGAGCACUGUAGAGGCGGGUGGAAUUCCGGGUGUAGCGGUGGAAUGCGUAGAGAUCGUAAGGAAGACCAGUGGCGAAGGCGAGUUUCUGGACGGUAACUGACGCUGAGGCACGAAGGCCAGGGGAGCAAACGGG
rnacentral:rRNA from 1 species